CAGAGAUACAAGACGGCCGCAGGGGUGAGCAGCUCCUGUCCAGGUUCCACCCUGACUCCCGCUGUGGUCUUGGACAUCAGGUCUUUCUGUUUAAAUGAUGCCUUCUCAACCCUGCCCUAAAGACACCGGCCCCAAACUCCUGAUGAAGAUCCAACUCUCCAGUUGGUCAAGUCCAGGGAAACUAUUCAUUAUCAGCCAUCACAGAAGGCAGGACACUCUGCUGGUGAAGAAGACAGGCUUGGUGGUCAGACAGACCAGGAUUUAAGUCACUGAUCUGCCAUUGCUACACGAUAUAGGUUUCAGUUACUGGUGGUCCAGAAGCAGCUGAUCCUCUUUCUGACAUCAUCAGGUCAAGAGCAGCCUAACAUUGCAUCAUGAAGUCUGUCAUUCACCUCAUGUCAUCAUCUCACAUCAUCAU